CCUACGGGCGGCAGCAGUGAGGAAUCUUUGUCAAUGGGCGCGAGCCUGAACCUGCCAAGUAGCGUGAAGGAUGAAUGCCCUACGGGUUGUAAACUUCUUUUAUAAAGGAAUAAAGUGAAGCACGUGUGCCUUUUUGUAUGUAUUUUACGAAUAAGGUUCGGCUAACUCCGUGCCAGCAGCCGCGGUAAUACGGAGGAGCCGAGCGUUGUCCGGAUUUAUUGGGUUUAAAGGGAGCGUAGAUGGGUUGUUAAGCCAGUUGUGAAAGGUUGCGGCUCAACCGUAAAAUUGCAAUUGAUACUGGCAGCCUUGAGUAAAGUUGAGGUAGGCGGAAUUCGUGGUGUAGCAGUGAAAUGCUUAGAUAUCAAGAAGAACUCCGGUUGCGAAGGCGGCCUACUAAACUGCAACUGACAUUGAUGCUCGAAGGUGUGGGUAUCGAACGGGAUUAGAUACCCCUGUAGUC
rnacentral:rRNA from 1 species